rnacentral:rRNA from 1 species
CCUACGGGAGGCAGCAGUGAGGAAUAUUGGACAAUGGGCGCAAGCCUGAUCCAGCCAUGCCGCGUGCAGGAAGACGGUCCUAUGGAUUGUAAACUGCUUUUGUACAGGAAGAAACACUCCCUCGUGAGGGAGCUUGACGGUACUGUAAGAAUAAGGAUCGGCUAACUCCGUGCCAGCAGCCGCGGUAAUACGGAGGAUCCAAGCGUUAUCCGGAAUCAUUGGGUUUAAAGGGUCCGUAGGCGGUUUAAUAAGUCAGUGGUGAAAUCUGGUCGCUCAACGAUCAAACGGCCAUUGAUACUGUUAGACUUGAAUUAUUAGGAAGUAACUAGAAUAUGUAGUGUAGCGGUGAAAUGCUUAGAUAUUACAUGGAAUACCAAUUGCGAAGGCAGGUUACUACUAAUGGAUUGACGCUGAUGGACGAAAGCGUGGGGAGCGAACAGGAUUUAGAUACCCUGGUAGUCCACGACGUAACGAUAGAUACUAGNUGUUGGUCGCGAGU